CUGAAAUCAAGUACCUUGAUUCAUUUCAACCAAACCAAACCAAUUAUACAGUUGUAGCACGCAUUCGAGAGUUCUUACGAUGUGAAGCAGCAAAAUGGAAGUUCAGUGUAUCGGGCAAGUGGCCUUGCAUAGCCGGAUUCUCUCUAAGAGAUUUCCCAAUUCAAACCAAUAAAGCAGAUUGUGGUGUUUUCAUACGUAUG